UACGUAGGGUGCGAGCGUUAAUCGGAAUUACUGGGCGUAAAGCGUGCGCAGGCUGUUUUGUAAGUCAGAUGUGAAAUCCCCGAGCUCAACUUGGGAACUGCGUUUGAAACUACAAGACUAGAAUAUGUCAGAGGGGGGUAGAAUUCCACGUGUAGCAGUGAAAUGCGUAGAGAUGUGGAGGAAUACCAAUGGCGAAGGCAGCCCCCUGGGAUAAUAUUGACGCUCAUGCACGAAAGCGUGGGGAGCAAACAAGGGAUUAGAGUACCCCAAGU
rnacentral:rRNA from 1 species